rnacentral:rRNA from 1 species
CUGCUUUUGUACGGAACGAAAAAGCUCUCUCUAAUACAGGGGGUGAAUGACGGUACCGUAAGAAUAAGCACCGGCUAACUACGUGCCAGCAGCCGCGGUAAUACGUAGGGUGCAAGCGUUAAUCGGAAUUACUGGGCGUAAAGCGUGCGCAGGCGGUUUUGUAAGACGGAGGUGAAAUCCCCGGGCUCAACCUGGGAACUGCCUUUGUGACUGCAAAGCUGGAGUGCGGCAGAGGGGGAUGGAAUUCC